CCUACGGGUGGCAGCAGUGAGGAAUAUUUGUCAAUGGGCGCUAGCCUGAACCAGCCAAGUAGCGUGAAGGAUUACUGCCCUAUGGGUUGUAAACUUCUUUUAUAAAGGAAUAAAGUGAGGCACGUGUGCCUCUUUGUAUGUACUUUAUGAAUAAUGAUCGGCUAACUCCGUGCCAGCAGCCGCGGUAAUACGGAGGGUGCGAGCGUUAUCCGGAAUUAUUGGGGUGAAGGGGAGCGUAGAUGGGUUGUUAAGUCAGGUGUGAAAGUUUGCGGCUCAACCGUAAGAUUGCAAUUGAUACUGGCAGCCUUGAGUAAAGUUGAGGUAGGCGGAAUUCGUGGUGUAGCAGUGAAAUGCUUAGAUAUCACGAAGAACACCGAUUGCGAAGGCAGCCUCCUAAACUGCCACUGACAUUGAUGCUCGAAAGUGAGGUGAUCAAACAGGAUUAGAUACCCUUGUAGUC
rnacentral:rRNA from 1 species